rnacentral:lncRNA from 1 species
UUUUUAUGCUUAAGAAAUACUUUAUUAGCUGGCAUAGCUCUGAUAAAAUCAGGAAUCUGAGAAAUAUCUGACAGGAUUUGAUAUUUAUAAAUUAAAUUUCUCUUCAUUCAGUUGCUUCUGAGUAGUAAGGUCUAUGAUUUCCAAGUGCCAAAUGGUAAUUCAGUAUAAAAAUAUACAUACCAUGGAAACGUUCGUGGGAAUUUACGAGCUUGUUUUAUGGCUUUUGGCCAAUCCUGGUGGGAAGUCUACAGAAGAAUUCAAUUCUGCUUUUUCCCAGAAUACUUGUUGACAAACUCAGUGGCACUGAAGUGUUACAUGAGUCUUUAUGUCCCCCAGAGUCCAGUGAUAAGGGCACUUGAGACCAGCAAGGGUCAGUGCUUCUGGGAAUAUGAUGUUGGUUCUCAGAAUUUACAUAUUUUUCUCAUGAACUUUUAACAAUUUUUAUAACAAACUCAACAACUCUGAUUG